rnacentral:sRNA from 1 species
GAUACCAGGGGCAAAAGGUCUUUCCCACAUGAGCUUGCUCAUAAGUAGGGAACAGACCUUGGGCCCCGCCAAAAUAUGAGCAUAAAAGUGGGACAUCAGUCCCGCGAUAUGCGAAUAUUUUGUAGGAUUGUGGGAGCACAAAGUGCGUAACAAUCCGUAGGUAUC